AAGAGUGACCCACUUACACUGCUAAUGUUUAUAUCUAGAUAUAACAACUCUAGCA
rnacentral:tRNA from 2 species